ACACAUUCCCAGAAAAGCCCUCCGUCUGCCCUGCCCCUGCCAUGAGCCUCGGCCUCCUGUGCUGUGUGGCCCUGGGUCUCCUGCAGGCAGGGCCCGUGAAUGCUGGCAUCACUCAGACCCCCAGAUUCCAGAUCCUGGGGACAGGACAGAGCAUGACGCUGAGAUGUGAACAGGACAAGGACCACGACUACAUGUCCUGGUAUCGACAAGACCCUGGACAUGGGCUGCGGCUGAUCCAUUACUCCGUCAGUGCUGGUACCACCGAGACAGGAGAAAUCUCCAACGGAUACAACGUCUCUAGGUCAAAUACAAAGAACUUCCCUCUCACGCUGGCGUCCGCAACUCCCUCCCAGACAUCUGUGUACUUCUGUGCCAGCAGUGACUGCACAGCGCUGCACAGCUGUCUCCUCUCUGCACAAAAAAAGGCAGGGGGAGGGCCUGCGCCCCAGGACUCAGCAGAGCCCUCGGCACACUCCCGGCCCCCCACCCCGACCCGAGCCCCAGAGCCCCGAGGGGCCCAAGCACCCAGAGUGAACCUCGGUGUGGGCUGAGGUCCGUCUGCAAGGCACUGACAGCCUGGCCUGGACCCGACCAGACCUCAGGCGGCCGUGUCUCCACCUCUGGUCUGUGCUCUGAGCCGCCUGGCUGGCUGCGAAGGUGCUUCCCCAGCUCUGACUGUUCUACCCCCUGCCUAAGUCUGAUGCUUCCGGGAUGGAAAUUGUUUGCACUGGGUAAACAACACAAUGUGUUAUUAACAAUGUGUUAUGAAAUCAGAUCUAUCUAGACGCCCCCCUCCUUGUC